UGUAGGCUUGGCUGCUGGGAGUGAAAGCAAGUCUCCCCAAGGGAAGCAGCCUAAGCACGGAGGAGCACAGAGGAGCAGGAUCCUGGAGCCCAGGAAAGAGUUUUAAUGCAAAGCAUCAGAAAAAAAAAAACCGCUGCAGCAUCUCAUGUGAGAGAGGGGAGAGAAGAAAGGAGACUCGCGCAGUAACAUCUCAAAACACUCAAAUGGUUUGAGGUGAGUGACUGGAGGGUCUUCUCAUAAGUUACAGUUAGUUUGUGAUUAACUUAAGCCUUUCUGCCUCUGACUGUCGUGAUAUCCGCAUCCAUGGCAAUAAAAAUAGCUGAGAGAGGGAAAGAACAACAGCAAAAAUUUGUAAUGCGCUUAUGUUUUUGAAAAUGGGCCCCGCGAGGUCCAAUCCUGCAAACAGGCAAUCAUUCUAACAUUUGUAAGGGUUGAACCUUGUUUAAAUCAGUGAGGCUAUUCUCCCUGAAAGUUAGGCGUGCGCCUGAGUAUUUCCACGUUUGGAAUCUGUGUGACAUGGGAACUCUGCAGAAGAAGGCUAUUGAAGAAAAUACAAUGCUCUGCCAGAAAAAUGCAUAUACAGUUCUGUUACUGUUGCUGAUAAUGUCAUGAGUAAUUGGACUUUACAGCAUUCUUACGUGAUACUUUUGUUUUAAACACAUAGUUCUCAUUUUUAGGUUUAAGCACCUCGUUGGUGCUUACCAGACUUCUUGACAGAGCCUGUUAGUACUCGACCAGCUGUAAUAAAUAUGUCUCCCUUAAUUGCUUCAUCAGUGUGUCUUUGAACAAGUAGAGUUAAAAGUAUGAAGAAAAUAAUGUCCCCUUUCAUAACCGGAGUUGCAAUUUGCACUUGGAUGUUCGACUAGCAGCAGAACUAGGAGUUCCCUGACUGAAGCUGAGUUGCGUUGUCUUGAGCUAUUAAAUACUUUUAAUGAAGACAAUUAAUUGUGAACUGCGAUGAAGAGCCCACCUUUUCCCUCUAGUCCCUCUCUUUUUGUUUUCAUUUCUCUCAUUGGAAAAGAAUGACCUCUGAGUCUUUUUAUUUUGUCUAGUACAGAGGAAAUGUUACAGUUGUAAAACUAGGCCCUGAAAUGCUGCCUAAAUGAAAACUGAGAAAGCUGCCUCUACCUUAAAAAAAAAUAAAGAUAAAAAAUUAUGUGUUCCUUUCUGACCCACAAGUGUGCUGAAGGAGACAAAAUUACUGUAAGAAACCUGCAGAAUGAAAAGAACCAACAUAACAUGGUAGGAGCAGGGCAUAUAACCUCACAACCGUACAGAAUAUCAAAACCCUUUGCCUGGUGGCAUUUGCAGACAUUUGUUGCUUACCAGGUUUCAGAAGAAAGGAGAGCAUAGCUGGCCCCUGGUGAUUGCUCUGUAUUUGCUUUGUAGGAAUAGAGCUAUUAAGUUUCUUUCGAAAUCAACAGACUCGCUACAGGGAGCUAAAUAUUUCCUUUCUGGUCGGUGGACUAGAGCCAUUCCUUGGGAAAUUGCACCAGUCCUGUAGGC
ensembl:lncRNA